rnacentral:rRNA from 1 species
AGCGUUGUUCGGAAUUACUGGGCGUAAAGCGCACGUAGGCGGAUAUUUAAGUUAGGGGUGAAAUCCCGGGGCUCAACCCCGGAACUGCCUCUAAUACUGGGUAUCUCGAGUUCGAGAGAGGUAAGUGGAAUUCCGAGUGUAG